rnacentral:rRNA from 1 species
AUUGAACGCUGGCGGCAGGCCUAACACAUGCAAGUCGAGCGAGCGGCGGACGGGUGAGUAAUGUCUGGGAACCUGCCUGAUGGAGGGGGAUAACUACUGGAAACGGUAGCUAAUACCGCAUACCAUCAGAUGUGCCCAGAUGGGAUUAGCUAGUCGGUGGGGUAACGGCUCACCUAGGCGACGAUCCCUAGCUGGUCUGAGAGGAUGACCAGCCAACCUGGAACUGAGACACGGGCCAAACUCCAACGGGAGGCAGCAGUGGGGAAUAUUGCAAAAUGGGCGGAAGCCUGAUGACGCCAUGCCGAGUGUGUGAAGAAGGCCUUCGGGUGGUAAAGAACUUUCAGCGGGGAGGCGUUACCCGCAGAAGAAGCACCGGCUAACUCCGUGCCAGCAGCCGCGGUAAUAC